AAACACCAGUCACAUGGAUGGGAGAGCAACAGGAUGUUUAAUGCGUGUAAUCCAAAAUUGGUUGGGAGAAGUACCUACUGUCAGUCUCGUCAGUAGAUUCACUUAUAACAUGCACUGUAUUCUGCUGGUGAGAGCAAGAGAAGGCAUUUGGAUCCCUGUAUCCAUGGACCGACCGUGGGAGGCCUCGCUAUCCAACCAUAUUUUGACUGAAUCUACAGGUGUACCCAACAGCUCUGAGGAGACAGUGACCAUCGAGAAAGAGGCAUGAUGAUGAUGGCAGUUUUGUCGAAAAGAAAAUGGAGAAAUGUGGGGAAAAGAAAGAGAGAUCAGAUUGUUAAUGUGUCUAUAUAGAAAGUAGACAUAAGAGACUCCAUUUUUUUCUGUACUAAGAAAAAUUCUUCUGUCUUGAGAUGCUGUUAAUCUGUAACCCUACCCCCAAUCAUGUGCUCCCUGAAACAUGUGCUGUGUCAACUCAGGGUUACAUGGAUUAAGGGCUGUGCAAGGUAUGCUUUGUUAAACAAAUGCUUGAAGGCAGCAAGCUUGUUAAGAGUCAUCACCACUCCCUAAUCACAAGUACCCAGGGACACAAAACACUGUGGAAGACCACAGGGAACUCUGCCUAGGGAAGCCAGUUAUUGUCCAAGGUCUCUCCCCAUGUGAUAGCCUGAGAUAUGGCCUCGUGGGAAUGGAAAGACCUGACCAUCCACCAGCCCGACACCCAUAAAGGCUCUGUGCUGAGGCGGAUUAGGAAAAGAGGAAGGAAUGCCUCUUUGCAGUUGAGACAAGAGGAAGGCAUCUGUCUCCUGCUCAUCCCUGGAUAAAACCCAAUUGUAUAUUCCAUCUACUGAGAUAGGGGAAAACCACCUUAGCGCUGGAGGUGGGACAUGCGGGCAGCAAUACUGCUCUUUAAGGCAUUGAGAUGUUUAUGUGUAUACAUAUCUAAAACACAGUACUUAAUUAUUUACCUUGUUUAUGAUGCAGAGAACUUUAUUCACGUGUUUAGCUGCUGACCUUCUCUCCGCUAUUAUCCUAUGACCCUGCCACAUGCUCCUCUUAGAGAGACACACAGUAAUGAUCAAUAAAUACUAAGGGAACUCAGAGGCCAGUGGGGAUCCUCCGUGUGCUGAAUGCCAGUCUCCUGGGCCUCCUUUUUCUUCCUUUAUACUUUGUCUCUGUGUCUCUUUCUUUUCCAAGUCUCUCAUUCCACCUAAUGAGAAAAAGCCACAUGUUUGGAGGGCCAACCCACCCCUUCACUCCCAAAUAUCCCGUUGCAGAUUCUACAAAAACAGUGUUUCCAAACUACUCAAUCAAAAAACAGGUUUAUCUCUGUGAGUUAAGCAUACACUUCACAGAGCAGUUUCUCAAAAAUCAUCUUUCUAGUUUUUAUCCAAAGAUAUUGCCUUUUUCACCCCAGGCUUCAAUGCACUCCCAAAUAUCCC
rnacentral:lncRNA from 1 species